UACGAAGGGGGCUAGCGUUGCUCGGAAUCACUGGGCGUAAAGGGUGCGUAGGCGGGUCUUUAAGUCAGGGGUGAAAUCCUGGAGCUCAACUCCAGAACUGCCUUCGAUACUGGAAGACUUGAGUCCGGGAGAGGUGAGUGGAACUGCGAGUGUAGAGGUGAAAUUCGUAGAUAUUCGCAAGAACACCAGUGGCGAAGGCG
rnacentral:rRNA from 1 species